GGACUGAGCUUAAACGCUGCAGAGACUCAGUCUGGACCAGGAACCAAUCAAACCAGGGCUGGAGCUGAUGAUGGUGUUUCCUACGUCUCCAUCAGCUUGCCCAAGAGGACCAGGAGUAAAACCCGGUCCCGUGGUCAUGAUGAAGGUGACACUGUGACCUACAGCACAGUGAAAGCUGUUUCCUCUUCUGCUGGAGAUGAUCCCAACCACCUCUAUUCCACCAUCAAUGAUGUAAAGAAGUAGGAUGAUGCUCAUGAAA